rnacentral:rRNA from 1 species
UACAGAGGUCCCAAGCGUUGUUCGGAUUCACUGGGCGUAAAGGGUGCGUAGGUGGUGGGGUAAGUCGGAUGUGAAAUCUCCGAGCUCAACUCGGAAAUGGCAUUGGAAACUACCCUGCUAGAGGGUCGGAGGGGGGACUGGAAUACUCGGUGUAGCAGUGAAAUGCGUAGAUAUCAAGUGGAACACCAGUGGCGAAGGCGAGUCCCUGGACGACUCCUAACACUGAGGCACGAAAGCUAGGGGAGCAAACAGG